GUUGUUUACUCUCCCUCAAGGGCUUCUGAUCUAAUCCAUGUAAACACCCGAUGGGGUUAUUGAGGGGCGAGGCUGGAGGCCAGAAGCUCUUCGAGGGAGAGAUAACAA
rnacentral:miRNA from 1 species